rnacentral:lncRNA from 1 species
CCACCGACGAGACGGACUCAGGAGGGGCGAACGCUCCUGGGAAAUCCAGAAACUCUAGAGAAGCUUGUUUGCCAAACCUUGCUUUGGGCGGUGGAGACAGAAUAUCAUGUCCCAGAUCAGCGUGUGGUGACUGUGGAGGCAUUUACACACAGCACACUCCAGCUCUGCCACUGGGCCGGCUGAGGUGGCUGCGGUACACGGCGCCCAUCCUGAGCCCCAGGUUCCUCACAUGUCAACAGCAUGAAAAGUGCCUCUAAGACAUCCACAGGUGUGCAGUGUUAAAGCAGGCAGCGCCUCAGCUUGGUUAGCUCCCUUAAGGACUGCGGCUCCCUUAGGACAAGGCUCUGUCCCUCAGAGCACUGAGUGCGAUCUCAUGCUGGCAUCUUAGAGACAUUGUAUUCACCAGGAUUCUGCCAUGAUUGCCACCUCUGGAGACGUCACAGCCAGCACAGCCAUGACCAGGGAUGAACUUGGCCAUUGUCCAGCAGCACCAUGGGAGGACCAGCUGCUGUAAGUGAAGGUCAUCAUCCAUCUGAUUUGCUGGCUUUUUGCAACUACUGCGGUGGAAGUCUUAGAGUAGCCACCUUCUCUGUACUCAGACCUUCACUUCGCCAGAUGUCAGCACAGCAGUGUCAGCAGCUUCGUCAAACACAAACACCACCACCUCUCUGGAUCAGAAGCACAUGGAAAGCCCACCUUGCAAGAAGACCCAGCUAUUCCAAAAGUACCCAUAUCCCUGUAGCAUCCUCUUAGCUGAAUGUCUCUACUCCUUAAACUUGUACCACUUUGAAGAGUAAAAAUUUAAAUUCAU